AUGAUCGCUGAUUUGCUAGACAACAGAAUUGAGGAAGUUGGGAAAGAUAAUGCCGUGCAAGUUGUCACCGACAAUGGUGCUAACUACAAGGCAGCUGGCCACCUUUUAGAGUCGAGGAUCUCUGCACUAUAUUGGAGUCCUUGUGCAUGCCAUUGCUUGGAUCUAAUGCUUGAACACAUAGGGAAGUUGAAGGCAUUCAAGAAACCUAUUGCACAGGCUAGAGGUGUCACAACUUUCAUCUAUAGUCAUGGGAGAAUUCUUAGUCUAAUGAGGAAGGCGACGAAUGGGAUAGAUCUUGUGAGACCAGCAGGCAGCAGCCACUUGUUUCGCCACAGCCUUCCUUCACUAAAGAGUUUGGUCAAGCACAAGGCAGCUUUGACGAGUAUAUUUUACAUGUGCAGCAUGGGUUGGAAGCAAAGUGGCAAAAACACAAGCUGGCUUGAUUGUGCUUUCAGCUGA
rnacentral:rRNA from 1 species